UUAAUUGAAACCAAAAAGAGGUAUAUUAUUGUUAAUAAUAUUAGUGAAAUUUUUUCCAAUUAAA
rnacentral:tRNA from 1 species